CAGCAGCCGCGGUAAUACGAAGGGGGCUAGCGUUGCUCGGAAUCACUGGGCGUAAAGGGUGCGUAGGCGGAUAUUUAAGUCAGGGGUGAAAUCCCAGAGCUCAACUCUGGAACUGCCUUUGAUACUGGGUAUCUUGAGUACGGAAGAGGUGAGUGGAAUUCCGAGUGUAGAGGUGAAAUUCGUAGAUAUUCGGAGGAACACCAGUGGCGAAGGCGGCUCACUGGUCCAUUACUGACGCUGAGGUGUGAAAGCGUGGGGAGCAAACAGGAUUAGAUACCCCUGUAGUCCCUGUCUCUUAUAC
rnacentral:rRNA from 1 species